ACCCAACUCACCCUCAUUUUAGAUGUAAUUUUCUCUCAAGGCUGAUUUCCCAUUACUUUUAUUGGACUGCUAUUAUUCCAGGGUGUAGAAGAGAUUGAGAAGAGUUUAGAGAUGGAUUAGAAAUGGAUACUGAGAUGAAGAAUUCCUAUUAAAUGGAUUCUACGAAUAAAGCUGUUGCAUAAUGGAAAGAAUGUUCACGCUGUGAUUGUCACAAUCCCCAGACAUGUGGGAGGUAUAAUCAUCUCAUGAAAGGCAUGCUCUUUUGUCCACUUUCAACUUGAGGAAAUUUUGCUGCAGAGAAAGGAGAUGCAUGAAGGGCUUCUUAGAAACUGCAGGCCGCUUCAGGAAUGGUGGCUCCUAUGUCCACUUUUCAGCUGUAACAUUGGGAAUCCUGGCUAGAGUACCUGAGGAUUCAUCUGAACUCCAUGGAAUCUGGAAGCCUGAUCAACAGACCAGUAAAUACCUAUGGCAUAGCUUGCUCAGGGGAGUCACCUCAGUAUUUAGGGCCACAGAGAAGCUGAGAAAAAUAAUUUUGUUCACAUUGAACAGAACCACAAAGUCCCCAUCUUUUGACUUCCUGUCAAGGAGGGGGACAGAAGGAGGUUUCUCAGCGCCAAGGUAG
rnacentral:lncRNA from 1 species